UACCAUUUUAUUUAUUAAUCUAAACAUUCAAUUUUUUAAUCAUUUUUAAAAAAGGUUACGCGUGAAGAGAAGCCAACGCUUCAAAAAAGCCAUUACUUCAAAUCACACAUUUGUUCUUAAAAUAAAAAAUUAUUCCCACCAUCUGUGGUAUCACUGACGCACAAACAAUUCACAAGAAAACAAACGGUACAUAUCGAAGUGCUGCAUUAAUUCCCUGUCGCCGAUGUUUCGCUGGCCAAAUGCCAUCGUGUUUGUUGAAAAGUAGUCCCUAAUGGAAUGGACUACACUUACAAAAUUCUAUAAAGGAAGUGACUACACUUAUUAUAGAAUUGAACCAAAGUAUUCUAUAAAGAAAGAGUAGCCGUUAAUUCUCAGGGAACGUUGAAGAAACUGGUUUUUAUUCCUUCUCUUCUAUUUUAUUUUUGAGCUUUUGUUCAUUAACACGAUGGGAUUCAUCGCCUUGUGCUUAGUGUAGACCGCAAUGAUCAAGCGUAAAUGAAAUUUUCUUUACGAAAAUUUGAAGGCCAGAGUAAUACCUGUUGUGUACACUGGGGCAAUCAAAAACACAUCAGAAAACUCCGUUGAUGAGGUUUGUCCCUUCUUCAGCUUCUUGUGGUCUUAGCAGCUCCCGCUGAAGCAAUUGUAGCAGCUCCUGCAGAAUUCCUCAUCUGCGAGCUAUUGGGGAUCUAUUCUCAGGAAGGAAUGAAAGGACUGACUUUCUUUACCUAAUAACAUCUUAAUCUACGAUCAUGUAUGAUAGAGUUUAGAUUUGAGUACAGACAGUAGGAGGGGACUCGCAACACUUUUGUGGAGGUCACAAAUUAGGGUAGAAGGUUAGUAGAUAGUAGAAUGUUGUCUUGCUUAUGCCCUUCCAUACAGAUAGUCAUGAUAUUUCUCCAGUAGUUUUUAGUCCUUUGAUUUUUGUUUACACUCGAUUGUCUUUUGUACUUCAAUUAUCGUACUAUUUUAUUAUAA